rnacentral:rRNA from 1 species
GACAGAGGGUGCAAACGUUGUUCGGAUUUACUGGGCGUAAAGCGUGUGUAGGCGGCUUUGCAAGCCGGAUGUGAAAUCCCACGGCUCAACCGUGGAAGUGCAUCCGAAACGGCAUCGCUUGAGUCUCGGAGAGGAAGGUGGAAUGCUUGGUGUAGAGGUGAAAUUCGUAGAUAUCAAGCAGAACACCUGCGGCGAAGGCGGCCUUCUGGACGAUGACUGACGCUGAGACACGAAAGCGUGGGGAGCAAACAGG